AAUUCACGAGACAGAGUCCAAGUUACACAUUUCUUUUCCUCGUUUGACAUUAAAAGAUCGCAUGCACGUGCCUUAUUGCGCCGACGUCUGGUCUGCUCUGUGCCCCAAGAAGACGUGACACACACAACAUGCUCACAGUGGAAACGUCUAGAGUAUUCUAGAACCCGGAUAGAGAAGUGGUAGAAGAAGGAGUCUCUAUCUCUAACACACCUAUUUUAUUGCACCAGGGAAUAAUAUACGGAAGGAUUUCCUGGAAAGAGAAGGGUAGAUCACUUUUGAAAGCACUCAGUUCCAGUGGCGAAAGCAGUUCUUCUAAAAUGUAAGUGAAACUCUGUAAUACUACACAUUUGGGGCUCAAAGCGAAGAUUUUCAACAGCCUUGACAGCCUGUGGCGAGGACUCUCAUAAGUUGGACAUUGGAAGUAGUACAAGAGGCAACACUCAGCUCGCGAUCUCUUUUCCUCAAUAAAACGGUUAUGUCCCUUGAAGAAUC